CCUACGGGAGGCAGCAGUGAGGAAUAUUGGUCAAUGGGCGGAAGCCUGAACCAGCCAAGUAGCGUGCAGGAUGACGGCCCUACGGGUUGUAAACUGCUUUUAUACGGGAAUAAAGCGCCUUACGUGUAGGGCGUUGCAUGUACCGUAUGAAUAAGGACCGGCUAAUUCCGUGCCAGCAGCCGCGGUAAGACGGACGGUCCGGGCGUUAUCCGGAUUUAUUGGGGUUAAAGGGAGCGUAGGCGGCAUGGCAAGCGUGCUGUGAAAUGUCCGGGCUCAACCCGGGCCUUGCCGCGCGAACUGGCGUGCUUGAGUCCGCGGAAAGCAGGCGGCAUUCGUCGUGUAGCGGU
rnacentral:rRNA from 1 species